rnacentral:rRNA from 1 species
GUGCCACGCGGUAAUACAGAGGUGGCAAGCGUUGUUCGGAAUUACUGGGCGUAAAGGGCGCGUAGGCGGCCAUCUAAGUCAGACGUGAAAUCCCCCGGCUUAACCUGGGAACUGCGUCUGAUACUGGACGGCUUGAGUAUGGGAGAGGGAUGUAGAAUUCCAGGUGUAGCGGUGAAAUGCGUAGAUAUCUGGAGGAAUACCGGUGGCGAAGGCGGCAUCCUGGACCAUUACUGACGCUGAGGCGCGAAAGCUAGGGGAGCAAACGGG